AGCCAUGCGAGUCAUUGUAGCAAUACAAGGCAGACGGCUCAGUAACGCGUAGUCAACCUACCCUAUGGACGGGAAUAACCUCGGGAAACUGAGAAUAAUGCCCGAUAGAACAUUAUGCCUGGAAUGGUUUAUGUUCCAAAUGAUUUAUCGCCGUAGGAUGGGACUGCGGCCUAUCAGUUUGUUGGUGAGGUAAUGGCCCACCAAGACUAUUACAGGUACGGGCUCUGAGAGGAGUGGCCCGGAGAUGGGUACUGAGACACGGACCCAGGCCCUAUGGGGCGCAGCAGGCGAGAAAACUUUGCAAUGUGCGAAAGCACGACAAGGUUAAUCCGAGUGGUUUCUGCUAAAGGAACCUUUUGUCGGUCCUAGAAACACCGAUGAAUAAGGGGUGGGCAAGUUCUGGUGUCAGCCGCCGCGGUAAAACCAGCACCUCAAGUUGUCAGGAUGAUUAUUGGGCCUAAAGCAUCCGUAGCCGGCUCUGUUAGUUUUCGGUUAAAUCUGUACGCUUAACGUACAGGCUGCCGGGAAUACUGCAGAGCUAGGGAGUGGGAGAGGUAGACGGUACUCGGUAGGAAGGGGUAAAAUCCUUUGAUCUAUUGAUGACCACCUGUGGCGAAGGCGGUCUACCAGAACACGUCCGACGGUGAGGGAUGAAAGCUGGGGGAGCAAACCGGAUUAGAUACCCGGGUAGUCCCAGCUGUAAACUAUGCAAACUCAGUGAUGCAUUGGCUUGUGGGCCAAUGCAGUGCUGCAGGGAAGCCGUUAAGUUUGCCGCCUGGGAAGUACGUACGCAAGUAUGAAACUUAAAGGAAUUGGCGGGG
rnacentral:rRNA from 1 species